rnacentral:lncRNA from 1 species
AUGUGGGGGAGGAAAAGCAAGCGAGUGAGAAAAGGCUGUGGAGCCAACUUCACAACCAGGCUCUGGAGCAAGCCACAGAGCUUGGUGUUCCUUAAAGUUCUUGCACGCCUGGGGAAAAGGGGACACCCAGGGAAAACUAUUGGGCUUCCUCUUCCUAAAAAUCCGAAUCCUAAACCCUACAAGUGGAAAGGUGAAGUUCCCCAAACCCCACACGCUCCGGGAGCGCACCUCUCACGGAAGGCGCCCACCUCCCCGCGCGCCCUUGGGCAGACUCAAGACUACAAUAUCAACUUUUCCCUGGGACACCAUCCUGCUGGCCUGUCCUACACAUUCAGACUUGCCAGCCUCCACAAUCAUGUGAAGAGACUGACUGAUAAGAGUAAAGGGAAAUGAAAUGGCUUUAGCAUGAAGUGUGCAGAGCAUGGUGUUGGUUCUGUUUAGCUUCAGGGGCUCUCUCUUCCCCAUCUUUCCUUUUAGCCCAUUAAUGUCACGUUGCAUUUGAGGCUGAGCCGUGUUGCACUUUGCUUGGAAGAAGGAAUGUAAGCUUCUUUUAUUAAUGGGUAUCAUGUUGUCCUGACCUUUCCUUGUUUUUUUUUUUUUCUUUCUUUCUGAGGAAAGAUGGCUAGAAUUUUGCAGAUUCUGGUUCAAAGUUUUACUUUUUGACUUGUUUCAAAGUGGAACAAACCUUAUAUUCUUUAAAGUUUUGUUUGAUAACCAAAUCAUCUUCAUUUCAGCACUGUUCAAUAGAACUUUCUAUGAUAAUGGAAAUAUUCUUCCAUGCUGUCUAAUAUGGUAGCCACGUGUGGCUAUUGAGCUCUUAAAAUGUGGCUAAUGUAACUGAGCAACUGAAUUUUAAAUUUUAUUUGAUUUUAAAUCAUCUAAAUUUAAAUAGCCACACAAGGCUAGAAGUUAUGUUGCACAGCACAUAUCCAAGUGAGUCUCCAAACUUCAAUUUGCAGUUUUUAUUUGUUUGUAUGUUUAUUUAUUUUAUGACAGAGUUUUGCUCUUGUUGCUCAGGCUGGAGGGCAGUGAUGUCAGCUCACUGCAACCUCUGCCCCCUGUGUUCAAGCGAUUCUUCUGCCUCAGCCUCUUGAGUAGCUGGAAUUACAGGUUUGUGCCACCAUGCCUGGCUAAUUUUUUGCAUUUUUAGCAGGAUGGGGCUUUAUCAUGUAGGCCAGGCUGGUCUUGAACUCCUGAUCUCAGGUGAUUCCCCCACCUUGGCCUCCUAAAAUGCUGGGAUUACAAGCAUGAGCCACUAUACCCAGUUCAAACUUACUUUUAACAAGUAAAAGCAAGUCUCUUUUCAUAUAGUGACUUAAUGCUAAAAAAUAUAAAUCUUGACUACUAUAUGAGGUCCUUGGACAGGCGCCAUCAGUCUCCCUUAUGAGUUUCUUACACAUGUAGAAUCUCAGGCCCCACUCUAGACAUACUGAAUCAGAAAACUGCAUUUUAACAAGAUUCUUGGUUUAUGUACUCAUUAAAGUCCAUAAGAAUUACUGACAUAAACUGUCCAUACAAACACUCUAAGCUCACAGAUAAAGGUGGGGAAAAGCAGUGAAGAUUUUUUUCUGAAUUGCUUGCAUGGUGUAGCCCCCAUAUAUGGGCAAAGGGCUACCACCCUGGUCCUGGCAUGACCUUUUUAGGGCAAGUGUUAGAAUCUCUCUAUGCAUGCUUUUGGUUUUUCAAAAUGUUGCAUCUGCUCACAAACUUCUGAUACUUUUUCUUGUUUAAAAAAAAUAGGGUAGCAUGUUUGAAUCCUAGGGAUUUCUUAAAGUGAAAAAUCACUGCUCCUGAAUAAGUAGUCAGUUGUGCCGUGUGAUAUGUGAUGUGGUUCAUUGGUAAAAUAAUUUUCCAAAUUACACAUGAACAUCUUAACUGUUUUUUUACUUAUUAUCUAUCAAAUAAAUUCUAACUUAUUGAUAACAUUAAAUAUAAUCAGUGUUUAGUGUUAUAUAUAAUUGUGACUCCCACAUACCUGACACUGUUCUGUUAUUAUUUUGGGGAGUGAACAUUGCAGUGUGUAUUAGAGACUGGAGGUGGCUUACUAGUCCACAAUCUACAGACACAUUCAGUAUGUUCCAAAAUCAAUUCUGAACUACUAAACUUUUCUGACACUAUGGUGGGUGUCAUAUGAAGCAACUAUGGCAAAGUCAUCCUAGCUUUUCAGGGCAGAACCACAUAAUAGGCAGUAG